ACGUAUGUCCCGAGCGUUAUCCGGAUUUAUUGGGCGUAAAGCGAGCGCAGACGGUUGAUUAAGUCUGAUGUGAAAGCCCGGAGCUCAACUCCGGAAUGGCAUUGGAAACUGGUUAACUUGAGUGUUGUAGAGGUAAGUGGAACUCCAUGUGUAGCGGUGGAAUGCGUAGAUAUAUGGAAGAACACCAGUGGCGAAGGCGGCUUACUGGACAACAACUGACGUUGAGGCUCGAAAGUGUGGGUAGCAAACAG
rnacentral:rRNA from 1 species